CAAAAUGGAUAAAAACAAGAAAAAAGAGUUACUUUCUGUCCUUUUGAAGAAACAUAACAAUUGCUACCAUCCACUGGUUUCUGUCCACAAUAAGAUUACACAAAACAUGUUAAACAUAUGCUUUAGGUCUUUUACAUUGACAGUCAUGUAUUAUUUUCAUAUUCCACAUUGCUAUGAUCAACUGAUUGUCUGAGGUCUUAUUAAAAUUAAGUGCAUUUCCUCUGGGAGUUAAUGUUCAGUAAUGAGUUGUUAAAAUCUUGCAUGUACUUUGGUUCACAUUAACUGAACAUACAGAUUCCCAAGUAGAAAGGUUUGAGGGUGACUUACCUGUCUUACAGUGUUUGAAUACAUCGCUCCUCUUCGAAUCAACCCAAAGAUGUGUCUGUAAACCCGACUGAAACUAAGCUUAAUACAUCCUCUCAAAGUGAGGGGGCAAAAUCCAGGAAUUUUGGAAAACAGACACGGAGCGCUGUAAAAGGUUUGACACUAGAAAUGAUAUCUAGGAUUCAAGGAUCACAACCUGGAAAGCUACCGGGGGCCAAAACCCCUCUUCUGGGGUAAUUUUCCUGGCGAAAUUAUGUAAAUGCAAAUAUUUAGGUACUACAAUGGAAUAAAUAGUCAUACAACUAUAAAAUUAGGGGGAGGCAUGAAAAAAGAUUCUGGGGCUUGUUGCAACUCUAAGAUAACUAAGAUAUCACCCUCAACAUCCCAAAAAAAGACAACAAAAAGUACUGUUCCCCUGACAAAUUCUCAUGAAAAUUAUUAUUUUUCAGCAUUUUAUGGAGAAUAUAUAUGCUUAAUAAUGUAUAUAGAAAUCUUCCUUAAUUCAUAAGCUUCCAUUUGAGUCCAAGAUAACCUUUCUACUAGCUACUGGAAAGCUACAGGCUGGCUCCAAACAAUGCAAACUGGCAUGACUAACUGACAUAACUGUUAACUGACAACAUUCUAUUUCUUGUCUCCCCAAAGUGAAUAAGCAGUGCACUUGGGUUUUUUUUUUCAAUUGCUUGCUGUUCAAAAGAGAUAAAUAUACUUUAAAUAUUAUUUCUUUAUACAAUAUUGAGAAUGUAUUUAUUAAUAUAAUUUACAGAAGGGCAAUAUUUGUUUGCCACCUAUGCUAAUUUUAGUUGUUCUGGCGUUUCAGCAAUUGAAAGAAUUGUAACUUGUACUAUAUUUUUCAUUUUAUCACUAUAUUUUUUAUCAUUGAUAAAAGGGAGUAUUUCAUGUGACAUACCAACCAUUUGUUGUUUGUGCAGUGCUGUGUGGGGUCACAUGUACACCUAUGCCACACCUACACUUUUGUGUGAAUUCGGCACAAGUAAAGAAUAGAGUGAGUAUUUUGAGAUGGAGGCUGCACUACAUGUGCUAUGUUAAAAAUAUUACUUUUUUUUAAAGAACAAUAUAUGCAAUUAUUCACAAUUGCAUCCACUACUUCAUAAAUACAAUGAUAUUGACCAA